UAUAAAGCGACGCGGUAGUCGCGGGUCGCGGUCGCGGUACGCGGUAGCAUUGCGACGUCAAGAUAUGAUAAUAAAAGAUUAAGGUUAUAAGGUUAUAUUUAAAUCUGUUGCAGAAAAUAUAUUUGGUGCUAUCGAGGUAAAGCGAAAAGAAGACCGGUAUAUUUUUAUAGCUGGGAUUUCUUCAGCUGGAAUUGCGUACGGUCUUAUACCGUAUGCAAUCCCAGCUGAAGAACUUUGCUAAACAGCGUAACAUAUUGGUUAUAAAGAUUUGGCAGUAACAGAUAAUAGAGGGAAGUGAAA